rnacentral:rRNA from 1 species
UACAGAGGUCCCGAGCGUUGUUCGGAUUCACUGGGCGUAAAGGGUGCGUAGGUGGCUUGAAAAGUUUGAUGUGAAAGCUCAGGGCUUAACCCUGAAAUGGCAUUGAAUACUGUCGAGCUGGAGGUUUGGAGGGGGGACUGGAAUUCUUGGUGUAGUAGUGAAAUGCGUAGAUAUCCGGAGGAACACCAGUGGCGAAGGCGACACGCUGGGCCGUACCUGACACUGAUGCGCGACAGCAUGGGGAGCAAACAGG